AUACUUAUUUGGGGUCGGGGUGUCUGCGAUCAAGGAGGCAGAGCCCCCAGGGCGAGGUGCGGCCAUUGCACUUCGGUCGUGUUGACCCCUGCCACUUUCUCAAACUGAGAUUGAUGGGGCACGAAAUUUUUGUUUUUCACGC
rnacentral:snRNA from 1 species